GGAGAGGUGGCUGAGUGGCCGAAAGCACCGGUUUGCUAAAUCGGCGUAGGGGAUUUCCCCCUACCGCGGGUUCGAAUCCCGCCCUCUCCG
rnacentral:tRNA from 1 species